CGGGGUGUAGCGCAGUCUGGUAGCGCACCUGCUUUGGGAGCAGGGGGUCGGAGGUUCGAAUCCUCUCGCCCCGACCA
rnacentral:tRNA from 2 species